UGUGUGUAACAAGUUAUACUUCUGACUUUAAAGAGGAAUCUGUCUGUCUUCCUAUGAUCCAAUAAACAAACAUAAGCCAAAACUUUACUCCACUACUUUAUGAAAAGGAUGGUCCAUUUGGAAAGAAAAUAUAAAAAAAAUUGUUUUCCUCUUCAAUGGGCUCAGGGAGAAACUCAAACUUGUUAUAUGCAGAACCCGAAGAUGAUUGAUUAGCAAACAAAAAAUAGGGAUUGACAAGGUCAAUCAGUCAAGAAUAUUAACUGUUCUUCCAAGGACCUAGGUUUGAUUCCCAGCAAGUACAUGGCAACUAACAACCAUCAUCCGUCUUCUGGCCCUUAUGGGCACUGCAAACACAUGGUGUCUAGGCAUGCAUGCAGGCAAAAGCCUUGUAUGCAUAAAAUAAAAAUAGGCAAAUUUCAAAAACGAAAAAAGAAAAA
rnacentral:lncRNA from 1 species